rnacentral:tRNA from 2 species
CGGGAUGUAGCGCAGCUUGGUAGCGCAUCUGUUUUGGGAACAGAAAGUCGUGUGUUCAAAUCUCAUCAUCCCGA